rnacentral:rRNA from 1 species
AUACGUAGGGUGCGAGCGUUAAUCGGAAUUACUGGGCGUAAAGCGUGCGCAGGCGGUUUUGUAAGACAGAUGUGAAAUCCCCGGGCUUAACCUGGGAACUGCGGUUGUGACUGCAAGACUAGAGUGCGGCAGAGGGGGUGGAAUUCCACGUGUAGCAGUGAAAUGCGUAGAGAUGUGGAGGAACACCGGUGGCGAAGGCAGCCCCCUGGGUUGACACUGACGCUCAUGCACGAAAGCGUGGGUAGC